rnacentral:tRNA from 1 species
GCUUAUGUGGCUUAUGUGGUAAAGAAUCUGCCUGCAAUAUAGGAGACCCAGGUUCAAUUCCUGGGUUGGGCA